GGACUACUGGGGUUUCUAAUCCCGUUUGCUCCCCUGGCUUUCGCGCCUCAGCGUUAGAAGAGGUCCAGUCGAGCGCUUUCGCCACCGGCGUUCCUUCUGAUAUCAACGCAUUUCACCGCUCCACCAGAAGUUCCCUCGACCCCUACCUCCCUCGAGCCCCUCAGUAUCCAAGGCACUUCUCCAGUUGAGCUGGAGGAUUUCACCCCGGACUUGAGCGGCCGCCUACGCGCCCUUUAAGCCCAGUGAUUCCGAACAACGUUCGCACGGUUCGUCUUACCGCGGCUGCUGGCAC
rnacentral:rRNA from 1 species